rnacentral:rRNA from 1 species
CCUAGUAACGGCGAGUGAAGCGGCAACAGCUCAAAUUUGAAAGCUAGCCUUCGGGUUCGCAUUGUAAUUUGUAGAGGAUGAUUUGGGGAAGCCGCCUGUCUAAGUUCCUUGGAACAGGACGUCAUAGAGGGUGAGAAUCCCGUAUGUGACAGGAAAUGGCACCCUAUGUAAAUCUCCUUCGACGAGUCGAGUUGUUUGGGAAUGCAGCUCUAAAUGGGAGGUAAAUUUCUUCUAAAGCUAAAUAUUGGCGAGAGACCGAUAGCGCACAAGUAGAGUGAUCGAAAGAUGAAAAGCACUUUGGAAAGAGAGUUAAAAAGCACGUGAAAUUGUUGAAAGGGAAGCGCUUGCAAUCAGACUUGUUUAAACUGUUCGGCCGGUCUUCUGACCGGUUUACUCAGUUUGGACAGGCCAGCAUCAGUUUCGGCGGCCGGAUAAAGGCUCUGGGAAUGUGGCCUCCACUUCGGUGGAGGUGUUAUAGCCCAGGGUGUAA